GAUGAACGCUGACAGAAUGCUUAACACAUGCAAGUCGAUGGGGAAGUGGUGCUUGCACCAUGGUAACCAUGGCGGACGGGUGAGUAACGCGUAAGGAACUUGCCUGCGGGACUGGGAUAACAGCAGGAAACUGCUGAUAAUACCGGAUAAGGUCAUUAAGCUGCAUAGCUUAGUGAUGAAGGGAGACGCCUGCGGAGAGCCUUGCGUCCUAUUAGCUAGUUGGAGGGGUAACGGCCCACCAAGGCGAAGAUAGGUAGCCGGCCUGAGAGGGUGGACGGCCACAAGGGGACUGAGAUACGGCCCUUACUCCUACGGGAGGCAGCAGUGGGGAAUAUUGGACAAUGGGGGCAACCCUGAUCCAGCAAUUCUGUGUGCACGAAGACGGUUUUCGGAUUGUAAAGUGCUUUCAGCAGGGAAGAAGGAAGUGACGGUACCUGCAGAAGAAGCGACGGCUAAAUACGUG
rnacentral:rRNA from 1 species